AGCUGCAGAGCAUGUCUGUUUAUAGCUUUUAAAACCAGAGUCGCACCAUUUUCAAUAUUCAACUCUUUCCUUUUCUUUCUGUCUCUCUCUAAAGAGCAGAGAGAGAGAGAGAGAGAGAGAGAGAGAGAGAAAAAAAACAAAUUGAUUUUUCUUUCUUACUUUAUUUUCUCAUUUCUUGUUUGUUUGGAUAGAAAGUAAACUAGAUGAGUAGAAUAAAUAGGUAAUUUGCUAUGAUCCCUGAGACAAUGAAGUCUAUUUUUUACUUUCUUACUGAUAUAUUAUUCUGUCUUUUUACUUUUUAUAAGAAAAUCUAAAUUUUAGAAUCUGCG
rnacentral:lncRNA from 1 species